GACGAACGCUGGCGGCGUGCUUAACACAUGCAAGUCGAACGGAAAGGCCCUGCUUUUGUGGGGUGCUUGAGUGGCGAACGGGUGAGUAACACGUGAGUAACCUGCCCUUGACUUUGGGAUAACUUCAGGAAACUGGGGCUAAUACCGGAUAGGAGCCCCUGCUGCAUGGUGGGGGUUGGAAAGUUUCGGCGGUUGGGGAUGGACUCGCGGCUUAUCAGCUUGUUGGUGGGGUAGUGGCUUACCAAGGCGUUGACGGGUAGCCGGCCUGAGAGGGUGACCGGCCACAUUGGGACUGAGAUACGGCCCAGACUCCUACGGGAGGCAGCAGUGGGGAAUAUUGCACAAUGGGCGGAAGCCUGAUGCAGCAACGCCGCGUGCGGGAUGACGGCCUUCGGGUUGUAAACCGCUUUCGGCAGUGACGAAGCGAGAGUGACGGUAAUGGGUAAAGAAGCACCGGCUAACUACGUG
rnacentral:rRNA from 1 species